rnacentral:tmRNA from 1 species
GGGGAUGAAAGGAUUUCGACGGGGGUUUUGAGGCGCGAUAAGCGAGCAGCGGCGCGGAACCGCUUAAAAAGCCGCAGUUUAUUUCAAAAUAAACGACAACAACACAGUUCUUAAAGCUGCUUAACUUUUAGCAGCCGUCUUUGCCGGGAGGACCGCGGCCCGGAUAAAGGCGUCGAUGAGCGGUGAACGUGCACGGGUGACGGUCCUCUGACCCGUCAUGCACAAGAGGACUACCGACAGUAUGAGCCUGUUCAUGGGCGCGUACGAGGGGGAAUCUCAAACCAUGAACUACGCUCGUAGAAGGUCACGAGGAGGAGCUUUCGGACGCGGUUUCGAUUACCGCCAUCUCCACCA